rnacentral:rRNA from 1 species
CAGUAGCCGCGGUAAUACGAGGGGGGCAAGCGUUGUUCGGAAUUACUGGGCGUAAAGGGCGCGUAGGCGGCCAUUCAAGUUAGAUGUGAAAGCCCUGGGCUCAACCUAGGAAUUGCAUUUGAUACUGUUUGGCUUGAGUUCGGGAGAGGUGAGUGGAAUUCCCAGUGUAGAGGUGAAAUUCGUAGAUAUUGGGAAGAACACCAGUGGCGAAGGCGGCUCACUGGACCGACACUGACGCUGAGGCGCGAAAGCGUGGGGAGCAAACAGGAUUAGAUACCCCAGUAGUCCCUGUCUCUUAUAC